rnacentral:rRNA from 160 species
GAGUAACACGUGGAUAACCUACCUAUAAGACUGGGAUAACUUCGGGAAACCGGAGCUAAUACCGGAUAAUAUUUUGAACCGCAUGGUUCAAAAGUGAAAGACGGUCUUGCUGUCACUUAUAGAUGGAUCCGCGCUGCAUUAGCUAGUUGGUAAGGUAACGGCUUACCAAGGCAACGAUGCAUAGCCGACCUGAGAGGGUGAUCGGCCACACUGGAACUGAGACACGGUCCAGACUCCUACGGGAGGCAGCAGUAGGGAAUCUUCCGCAAUGGGCGAAAGCCUGACGGAGCAACGCCGCGUGAGUGAUGAAGGUCUUCGGAUCGUAAAACUCUGUUAUUAGGGAAGAACAUAUGUGUAAGUAACUGUGCACAUCUUGACGGUACCUAAUCAGAAAGCCACGGCUAACUACGUGCCAGCAGCCGCGGUAAUACGUAGGUGGCAAGCGUUAUCCGGAAUUAUUGGGCGUAAAGCGCGCGUAGGCGGUUUUUUAAGUCUGAUGUGAAAGCCCACGGCUCAACCGUGGAGGGUCAUUGGAAACUGGAAAACUUGAGUGCAGAAGAGGAAAGUGGAAUUCCAUGUGUAGCGGUGAAAUGCGCAGAGAUAUGGAGGAACACCAGUGGCGAAGGCGACUUUCUGGUCUGUAACUGACGCUGAUGUGCGAAAGCGUGGGGAUCAAACAGGAUUAGAUACCCUGGUAGUCCACGCCGUAAACGAUGAGUGCUAAGUGUUAGGGGGUUUCCGCCCCUUAGUGCUGCAGCUAACGCAUUAAGCACUCCGCCUGGGGAGUACGACCGCAAGGUUGAAACUCAAAGGAAUUGACGGGGACCCGCACAAGCGGUGGAGCAUGUGGUUUAAUUCGAAGCAACGCGAAGAACCUUACCAAAUCUUGACAUCCUUUGACAACUCUAGAGAUAGAGCCUUCCCCUUCGGGGGACAAAGUGACAGGUGGUGCAUGGUUGUCGUCAGCUCGUGUCGUGAGAUGUUGGGUUAAGUCCCGCAACGAGCGCAACCCUUAAGCUUAGUUGCCAUCAUUAAGUUGGGCACUCUAAGUUGACUGCCGGUGACAAACCGGAGGAAGGUGGGGAUGACGUCAAAUCAUCAUGCCCCUUAUGAUUUGGGCUACACACGUGCUACAAUGGACAAUACAAAGGGCAGCGAAACCGCGAGGUCAAGCAAAUCCCAUAAAGUUGUUCUCAGUUCGGAUUGUAGUCUGCAACUCGACUACAUGAAGCUGGAAUCGCUAGUAAUCGUAGAUCAGCAUGCUACGGUGAAUACGUUCCCGGGUCUUGUACACACCGCCCGUCACACCACGAGAGUUUGUAACACCCGAAGCCGGUGGAGUAACCUUUUAGGAGCUAGCCGUCGAAGGUGGGACAAAUGAUUGGGGUGAAGUCGUAACAAGGUAGCCGUAUCGGAAGGUGCGGCUGGAUCACCU